CGCAGUUCUUUUUCACUGGGCGAGAAAGCCGGGUGCGACCCGCAACGCCCCAGGGUUACCUACACGGAAACUGAGUCUGUGUGCGGAUACCUGUUUUCUGGGCAUCGGCUGCUCGGUGAAGCUCAGUGGCGCAUGUUCGUCACCGUUUUGCCCUGUUCCGUGGUGCGCAGGCGCUGUCGUGCGCGUGCCUUCAACUGUCUCAAACUUACUUUACCCCCUUCUCCAUUCCCCUUGUCAUCUCUGCCUGUUGUGCCCUUGGUUCAUCCUAAAAGAAUGGCUUCAGUGAGGAAUCUGGUUGCCAUGGUUAUUAUCGUGAUUAUCACCGUGGUGCCAGCCACAGUGAUGGCCAUGUGAAGACGUGCUUGCUUCCCCUUUGCCUUCUGCAAUGAUUGUACAUUUCCUGAGGCCUCCCAGCCAUGCUUCCUGUACAAUCUGCAGAACUGUAAAGAGCCGAGGCACAGAGAAGUUGGACAACCUGCCCACAGCCAAGGCUGCAGUCACAAUGGGCAAAGGGCUUAUCACAUGCUCUAUGUUGCUGCUAUUCAAACCUGACGUCUUGCUGGACUCACUGGACAGUUUGUAAAAUACUGAGGGUUAAGUCCCACUCCUUGAGAUUCCCAGGGCACUGGCAUGGAGCACCCGGGCCCUGGGAGUUUUCAAAGCGCUCCCAGUGAAGGUCAUUUUAGCCAGAUCCGGAGACACACCCCUCAGCAUUGUUGCCACGUGAAAUUUGUUGUCUAUCAGACCCCAGAGGUUCCCAGUUCUUGGUGGGCAGCAAGGGCAGAAGUGGGUGACUCACCUUCUGGCACAAACAUGUUGGCGAUCACCAUGAGCCCGGCCAGGAUGAGGAAGGAGGCCACCGUGGCCCGGCGGCCCAUGUAAAUCAUGGUGGCGGUGGCCACGAGCAUGGCCGGGAUGUCGAUGAUUCCAAACAGGGCCUGCACCAGUACCACCUCGGUGCCGAAAUUAAGGCAGUGCUAAAAAAUAAAAAGAGAAGAAGAUGGAGGAAGGUCAAAGGACACAGGAGGCAAUGUGGAAGAGCUCCCAAUGGCCAAAGUUGGAGCAAUUUGGGAAAUAAGAAGAACUCCAAACAAUAUAUGUGAAUAUUCCAUUCCUUGGCUGGGAGCAGUGACUCACACCUGUAAUCCCAGCACUUUGAGAGGCCAAGGACUCCCCAUCCCCACCUCAACCCAGACACACUGGCGAGGAAGGGGUAGGGGAGCACGCUCGCCGCCUCCCGCUCCCCAAAGCCAGGACUGUGCAAUUGAUCCCAGGCGCGAGCCUGGCGUGGCUCCCAGCCGGCAGCGAAGCGAAACAUUUGGAAAUGGCCCCGAUUUUCCGGGUGCGGUUGAAGGAUCCAAGACAGGACUUUCUGCUCUGGAGUUUUGAACUCAGGAUCUGUUUCUCCUUCGCGGAAAGAGGAAGGUGGAGGAAAGGCAAGCCCAGGCCGGCGGGGCUACCGCAGGAAGACACCCCUCCUGGACUCGGGUUCGCAGGAGGCCCCUCGCUCCCCAGAGCCAGAACUGCGCUGCCUGCCACGCUGUUGGGGACAGAAGCCCUCACAGCCUCCCAGAGUCGGGGGCCGUCCCAUCUUCCCAGUACACAGGGGUCACAGCCCCAAAUCCAAACCAGAGGAAAGAUUCUAUACCCCAGAGCUUCCCAGGGGGCCACCUGUGGUUUAAGUGCUUUAUGUGCCUUAACUUUUUUUUUUUUUUUUUCUCCACACGGGGUCUCGCUCUGUCACCUAGGCUGGAGUGCAGUGGUGAGAGCACAGAGCACUGCAGCCUCCAACUCCUGCAUUCAAGCGAUUCUCCCACCUCAGCGUCCCAAGUAGCUGGAACCACAGGUAACAGCCCUCCAUGCUCGGCUGGCGCGGGAUCUCCCUGUGUUGACCAAGCUGGUCUGGAACUCAUGGGCUCAAACAAUCCUCCCGCCUCUGCCUGCCAUAGUGCUGGGAUUACACACAUGAGUCACCAGGGCUGGCCUCAUGUCUUAACUCUGGAUCCUCACAAGGACCUUACAGAUGUAGGAAAGAGGCCCCAGGAGGCUGGGCUCCCUUACUUGCUCAGGUCACAUGGAUAGUCUGGCCUCAGAGCCCAGCUGAUAUCUACUAAAAGCGACUCCCCAGUCUGCUACAGAAAACAGAUAGCUGCCCGCCUCUACUAAAAAUACAAAAAUUAGCUGGGUGUAGUGGCGCGUACCUGUAGUCCUAUCUACUCGGGAGGCUGAGGCAGGAGAAUUGCUUGAACCCGGGAGGCGGAGGUUACAGUGAGCCAAGAUCGCACCACUGCACUCCAGCCUGGAGACAGAGGGAGACUCCGUCUCAAAAAAAAAAAAAAAAAAGAAAGAAAGAAAAAGAAAAACAAAAGAAAGAAAGAGAGAGGGGAAGAAGAAAAAGAAGAAAGAAAGAAAGAAAGAAAGAAAGAAAGAAAAUGGAUAAUAAUUCAUUGCCUGUAGUCCCUGUUGUUAUCAACACCAAUUAUUUAAAUGUGCAGGAAAUCCAGUGGAAUGAAAUCAACACGGUUGUUUUUUAUCAGCCCUUCCCCUUAGGAUUUGUCAGCUUCCAGUAGGUGGCGCUACUGCAUAUGGGCUGCCUUUGUAUUUUUGUCCAUUUCACAUCUUCAUGCCUGUGAACCUGUUAGGAAUUCCUUCCUGCCCACCUUGCAAACUUGAUUAACCAUCUUUUAAAACUAGUCUAAAUGCUGUCUCCUGCCUGAAGCCCUCAGCAGCCCCAGCUAGCAGAAAUGCUGUCAAGAUACAUGUCUCACUGCAUGGAAAUUACGAUUUUCCUGUCUAUCCCCUUCUGGAUCCAGAAGUGUUUUUUCCAGAGUGGGACACUUCCCAGAAUCCACUGGAGAGCCCGCCCCAGGGGCAUAUCGGGAUGGGACAAGUUACAUUCUGGAAAAGCUGCCUUGGUGAUUCCAGUAGUCCUCCCACCCAGGUGAGACCCACUGCCCAGAAAUAGGGUUCCUGGGUUGGCAUGAUAUCUCAUCUGUCACCACAUCUCAGCGUCCAGCAGAGGCCGAGUGCUGGAGAAAGGGUGUGGGAAGAGAUUGAGUUCACACGGCUCACCUGCUCAUUGCAUUAAGAGUAUUUCAGAACAGAGUUUUUCAGUGGGGGCAGAGAGCAUGCCCCUGCCUUGGGUGAAAGACUUGGGCAUGAGCCUGUCACCUACCAGAUCACCAUGAGACAGCAUGUGACCUUGCGGAUGGCCGGGGUUCGGAAGAGGUCCAAGAUCGAGUUGGAGGUGUGGACACUUGCAAACUCGCUCUGGAUGUAGGAGCUCACCGCCUAGGUGAGAAGAGUCUGCUCAGGGGAAGCGAGGGAGCUGGGACCCCACAUCCCUGCAGGGAACCCCUUCAUCUGUGUGGAGGAGAGCUGGGGUUGAGGUCUUUGGUGAGGUGGCUGGCCCUUGUCUCCUCUCCAUCCAAAGACUGAUGGCACUUGAGGGGCUGUUUCCAGGGUGUUGAGAAGCUCCAACACGAACCCCAACAGUACUGAGGUUCUGUGGUUCUGGAGGGCCUCCCACCCCAUUCCUGGUAUAGACUUGAAGACUGUGUCAGAUAAGAGCAGGGGUUCCAAGUGGUUCUGCCACUUCCUACUGUAUGUUCUCAGGCAAGUUACCUGACCUGUCCCCACUUCAAUUUCCUCAUUGGCAAAAAUGAGACAUGAAACGAGGUUAUGUACAUAAAGCUCUUAGCCUAGUGCCUGGCAUGGGGCUUGAGAAAUGAUGCGUAUUGAUAAUAAAUGGUAACUAUCUUAUAAUAAAUGGUAUUUGUGAUAGUACUUUUGUUAUUGAUUCCCCAGUAAUUUUACUUUGUGGUUGCUAUUUUAAUAAUUUUAGUUUAUUAUUUUAUUAAAAUUUCAACUGGAUGUCAA